GACGAACGCUGGCGGCGUGCCUAAUACAUGCAAGUCGAGCGGACAGAUGGGAGCUUGCUCCCUGAAGUCAGCGGCGGACGGGUGAGUAACACGUGGGCAACCUGCCUGUAAGACUGGGAUAACUUCGGGAAACCGGAGCUAAUACCGGAUACGUUCUUUUCUCGCAUGAGAGAAGAUGGAAAGAUGGUUUCGGCUAUCACUUACAGAUGGGCCCGCGGCGCAUUAGCUAGUUGGUGAGGUAAUGGCUCACCAAGGCGACGAUGCGUAGCCGACCUGCGAGGGUGAUCGGCCACACUGAGACUGAGACACGGCCCAGACUCCUACGGGAGGCAGCAGUAGGGAAUCUUCCGCAAUGGACGAAAGUCUGACGGAGCAACGCCGCGUGAACGAUGAAGGCCUUCGGGUCGUAAAGUUCUGUUGUUAGGGAAGAACAAGUACCAGAGUAACUGCUGGUACCUUGACGGUACCUAACCAGAAAGCCACGGCUAACUACGUGCCAGCAGCCGCCGUAAUAC
rnacentral:rRNA from 1 species